rnacentral:rRNA from 1 species
AAUGGACGAAAGUCUGACGGAGCAACGCCGCGUGAGUGAUGAAGGUUUUCGGAUCGUAAAACUCUGUUGUUAGGGAAGAACAAGUACCGUUCGAAUAGGGCGGUACCUUGACGGUACCUAACCAGAAAGCCACGGCUAACUACGUGCCAGCAGCCGCGGUAAUACGUAGGUGGCAAGCGUUGUCCGGAAUUAUUGGGCGUAAAGCGCGCGCAGGCGGUUUCUUAAGUCUGAUGUGAAAGCCCCCGGCUCAACCGGGGAGGGUCAUUGGAAACUGGGGAACUUGAGUGCAGAAGAGGAGAGUGGAAUUCCACGUGUAGCGGUGAAAUGCGUAGAGAUGUGGAGGAACACCAGUGGCGAAGGCGACUCUCUGGUCUGUAACUGACGCUGAGGCGCGAAAGCGUGGGGAGCGAACAGGAUUAGAUACCCUGGUAGUCCACGCCGUAAACGAUGAGUGCUAAGUGUUAGAGGGUUUCCGCCCUUUAGUGCUGCAGCAAACGCAUUAAGCACUCCGCCUGGGGAGUACGGUCGCAAGACUGAAACUCAAAGGAAUUGACGGGGGCCCGCACAAGCGGUGGAGCAUGUGGUUUAAUUCGAAGCAACGCGAAGAACCUUACCAGGUCUUGACAUCCUCUGACAACCCUAGAGAUAGGGCUUCCCCUUCGGGGGCAGAGUGACA